rnacentral:rRNA from 1 species
GAUGAACGUUGGCGGCGUGCUUAAGACAUGCAAGUCGAACGAUGAAGCCCAGCUUGCUGGGUGGAUUAGUGGCGAACGGGUGAGUAACACGUGAGUAACCUGCCCUUAACUCUGGGAUAAGCCUGGGAAACUAGGUCUAAUACCGGAUAGGAGCGCCUACCGCAUGGCGGGGGUUGGAAAGAUUUAUCGGUUUUGGAUGGACUCGCGGCCUAUCAGCUUGUUGGUGAGGUAAUGGCUCACCAAGGCGACGACGGGUAGCCGGCCUGAGAGGGUGACCGGCCACACUGGGACUGAGACACGGCCCAGACUCCUACGGGAGGCAGCAGUGGGGAAUAUUGCACAAUGGGCGAAAGCCUGACGCAGCGACGCCGCGUGAGGGAUGACGGCCUUCGGGUUGUAAACCUCUUUCAGUAGGGAAGAGGCGAAAGUGACGGUACCUGCAGAAGAAGCACCGGCUAACUACGUGCCAGCCGCCGCAGUAA